rnacentral:lncRNA from 1 species
UUCUGACGAAAUGACGACUGAUGAACCAGAAAGUCUUGUCAGGAUGCAGUUACUUGCCAAAUCCCUAAUUUUGCCUAGAUUGCCCCAGAGUGAGGUACUCAAUCUAGCGGGAUGCAAAUAUAUUUUUUUUUAAAGUCUCUAAUUUUUGCCUGAAUUACCCUUGCGGGUUCUCCACCGAGACGCUCAUUUUUGCCUAAGCCGCCCUUUCGGGUU